rnacentral:rRNA from 1 species
UACGUAGGGUGCGAGCGUUGUCCGGAAUUAUUGGGCGUAAAGAGCUCGUAGGCGGUGCGUCACGUCGGCCGUGAAAACCUGGGGCUUAACUCUGGGCGUGCGGUCGAUACGGGCAGACUAGAGGUAGGCAGGGGAGAGCGGAACUCCUGGUGUAGCGGUGGAAUGCGCAGAUAUCAGGAAGAACACCGGUGGCGAAGGCGGCUCUCUGGGCCGUACCUGACGCUGAGGAGCGAAAGCGUGGGUAGCGAACAGG